rnacentral:rRNA from 1 species
CAGUAGCCGCGGUAACACGAAGGGGGCUAGCGUUGCUCGGAAUCACUGGGCGUAAAGGGUGCGUAGGCGGGUCUUUAAGUCAGAGGUGAAAUCCUGGAGCUCAACUCCAGAACUGCCUUUGAUACUGAGGAUCUUGAGUUCGGGAGAGGUGAGUGGAACUGCGAGUGUAGAGGUGAAAUUCGUAGAUAUUCGCAAGAACACCAGUGGCGAAGGCGGCUCACUGGCCCGAUACUGACGCUGAGGCACGAAAGCGUGGGGAGCAAACAGGAUUAGAUACCCCAGUAGUCCCUGUCUCUUAUAC